UACGUAGGGUGCAAGCGUUUGUCCGGAAUUAUUGGGCGUAAAGAGCUUGUAGGCGGUUUGUCGCGUCUGCUGUGAAAUUUCGGGGCUCAACCCCGAACUUGCAGUGGGUACGGGCAGACUAGAGUGUGGUAGGGGGAGACUGGAAUUCCUGGUGUAGCGGUGAAAUGCGCAGAUAUCAGGAGGAACACCGGUGGCGAAGGCGGCCCUCUGGACGGUGACUGACGCUGAGACGCGAAAGCGUGGGGAGCAAACAGG
rnacentral:rRNA from 1 species